AUAAAACAAACACUUUCUUACUUGUGGUUAAAUAACACCCAUGCUCAAAGGAUUGUGUCCUUUCAAAGUAAAAGCAGACUCACUGAGUCAGUGAUCUGACACAGAGCUGGUUGUAGUCGCCCGGAUCUUAAAGCAGGAUCCACCCCACCCCACCCUUUUCCUGCCACUCUCCUGGCACACAGAUAGAAGCUGACGGCGUGCUACGCCUCAGCCUGGCAGCGACCUAUGCUUACAAAAUGGCUGAUUUCUGUCUGCCAGCUGUCUCCCUCAGCCAAGAUGGCGCUCAGUCGCUUUCUGUUUUUUGUUUUUUUUAAUGCCCGCUGUUUGCCAUCUGCCCCGUGAUUGUUAACGGCUAUGCAAAUAUCUUGUAAUUGCCUUUGCAUGUGCUUGGUGCUUAGCCCCUCCCCCUCGGCUGUAAAUAAUGGUGCCAGGGAUGAAAGAAAACGUGGCGCCGAGCGGUUCCUGAUUGAAUACGCAGCAGGAACAAUUAGCAAAUGAAUGUUGUCCGUUGUUACUCUUUUUUUUUCUUUCUUUUCUUUUCUCAUCUCCGUGAGCUCACCUUGUUCUGUAUGCAAAUCGCUGAUGCUGUUUAAGGCUUCAGCUGGAAAGUACAGCAGCGCCUGGUGUCUCUCCGAGCGGCUGAUUCGGAGAUGCUCGUGUGUCUUCUCAUUGUGCCAUAUGUGACAUCUGUGGUUGGCUGCAUCACAAGGGUACCCUGCCUCCUGUGACAGGCAAAGCCCACACUGUAAAGGCGAGCAGAAGCAAGGGGGAGGCAUAACAUAAUGACCUCAUUAGCAUGCUCAGCACUCCUUGCUAUAGGCCGCGGUGCUGCGCUGCGCCGUGGGACCCACCGGUGUACGCCCUUCUCACAGCACUCAGCAUGCAACAUUGUGUUCUCCCCACACAAUGCGGUGCUUCAUACAGGCUUUAUUACGCCUUGUCAAAGCGCAGGAGGAUCAGGGGUAUCAGUGCAGAAGUAGCAGGAUACACACUGUGCACGUGGAACGGGAGAUGUCUCGGUGCUUAAUGGUUUUAACGGGAACUGGCGCAUCCUAGGCUGCUGCUGUUGGACGCUGACAUGUGUGUGUGUGUUUGUGUGUUUUUUGUUUCUCGUGUGUGUGUUUGUGUAGUUGUCUGCUUCGUAGCCAGCUGGAAGUUGAGUGUGUUUUCACCUGUCAGAGAUAAUUAUUGCAAAGACUGAUUUGGCGACACGUCCUGAAUCUAGGCCACUCGUCCACAAUGAAGAUCUGCUGCAUGGCAUCUGUUAGCCUCACACUGGCAACCUCACAGAAAGGGGACAUGGGUCGACACCCUUUAAUUAUGUCCAAGAUUUAAACCUUGCGAGUUUGCAUGUUGGAAAAAAGUGCUUGGGUUGUGUAAGGAGAAAAGACUAAUUAGAUACCUGCAUGGAUGGAAUCAAAACGCAGAUUUCAGCUUGCUUCAUUCAUCAUUAUGAAUAUGGAUGCAAAUACCCACUAAAUCUAUCUAUUUAUCCUAAAUAAUAAUGAUUGCAAUUUCAGUGGUGCAAAAGCGUCCAAUACAUUUCAAAAUUAAAGUUUCCUUAAGACUAAGACUCCUCUAAAUCCCCGAGCCAGCACAACGUGAUGAUGGAACAUGAGGGUUUAUCACAACUGAUCGCAAACUCAACAGUGAUAUAGCAGCUAUGCAUUUUCUAGCAUCGUACAGUAAGAUCUGCACAAGCACAAUAAAUAACACAAUACUGUGUGGAAUUUACAGGGAUUUUCAUCUUUUGACUUCAUUUUCUAUCAGACUGAGAAAGUUUUAAUCCAUCUUACAGCGGAGGUGAGGAAUCCACAUUAAAUGUGUUAGCCUAGCUGAGCUAAAGGAAAGAAUCAGUAAAGAGUUUAGAUCAAAUACAACAAGUAUUACCUUCAAUAGUUUGUUUGAUUUGUCCAGUUUUAAUAGCUUGGUCAGAUUUAUUUAAUUUGUGAAAACGUGUUUACUUUUCUGAAACAUAGUCAGAAAAAUACAGUGCAUUAGUAAAUUAUUUUACCUUUCAUUCAUACAUUUAAUCCUAUGAUACCAUGCUUUGUAUUGAACCUCCGAUUAGCAUCACAGCCAGAGCCUCCAGCUCUGUAGCGAUGCGUGGAUGCUGCACAAACACUUGGGGUGUCUAAAGUCACGGGGAAAGAGCCAUCCUGCUCCCAGUGCCCUGCUGAAAGCUUUUACUCUAAUGACAAAGGCCACGUUUGCUGCGGUUAUUCAUAAUUCAAUAUGCAGAACACGUGCACGUCCACACUGAGGCUCAGGCAGAGACAGGACCUUAAAAAUAAAUUUAUAAGAGUUGGAAUUGCUUUAAUUAUUUAACAUUUUGUUUUUCAAACAACAAAAUUUCAAAUGUGUUCAUUUGGAUUAAAGAGGAUCUUUUCUUUGCUUGUGAUCUUGUGUUCAUAAGAAAUUGCUACUAAUCUGGAUUUUUUUUAUUAAAGACCUAAUUUAUCGGUCACUGAUUUGUGAUUUUUUUUUCCAGUCAGAAUAAAUUCUAACGUCUCUUCAAGCAAACAAGCCGUGUUACCUAAAGAAACCAUUACUGAUCAGGUGCAAAGACUUAAAAAGAUUUUCUUAACUAGAGUGUUUUUCUAUCAUCUUCACUGAGACUUGAAUGCUGGGUGUUCAUUUGUGCGCGUGAUUGUCAUCCACUCCACUGCAGCUUUUUUCAUUCUGUCUGCCUCUUGCUUUUUAUUUGCUUAGGUAUUGAUUGAAUGUGGUCCACCCUCUGAAGUAAUAGUUGCUGAAAGCAUUUACAGCCUUCACUCAUUUCAUCCAGCGCUGGUUUGCACGUUUUUUUUUUCGCUCCCUCCCUCGUGUGACCAAUGUGAUCUGGUUUGGGUCUCAAAUUAGACUCAACCUGAUUCACAUAAGAAGAAUCAUCAUUUUGCAUGGCUUGAUUCACCAGAACAUGUCAGAGUGAUCAUUUUUACACACCUCUAAAAUCUAGUUUUACAGAUUUCUGAUACGUUUGUUCUGCUCAGAGAUUCACAAACGUUUUGGAUAGAUGCGUGUCCUUAUAUACCCUUUUUAAAGAGUCUAAAAUACAUAAUGGUUUAUAAAAUCAUGUAUUAUAGACAAUAGGAAUAAGCUUUUAAUUUGUCAGAAAGUCUGAAAUGUUAUUCUGGUUUUGUUUGGGCCAAAAUAUGCACAGUACCCAAAUCUAUUUCACUCCGUUGAUGCUUGAGUACAUUCCUUAGCUGAAACCACCCGUCUUAGGAAAAUAAUUCCCCAGUCAAGUGCUGGUGCUGAGCUUUCACCGUAUAGCUGCAACGCUAAGCCCCAAGUCUGAUUAUAGACUCAAGGAAAAACAGUCAGACAUUUAUCCAAGUCACUGAUUAUGUCAUUUCAACAGGCUGCAAACACUCAGACGGGCUAGACAGCUCAGAGGGGAGAAUUGUGAAGCUGGAGUAGGAUGGAGGCUGCAUGAAAAGGAAAUGAAAAUGGAGCAGAGCUGUAUGUGUGAUUAAACUGCCUGCUCGCCAGAAAAAGGCCAUGCUGGUAUAACGCGGUCUGGAGACUUGGCUGUAAUGAAAAUGUAAAGGUGGUGGGGUUUGGACCCCCAAAAUGAUGCGUAUGAGCACUUACAUUCACAAUAUUACAUUAUGUGGUGUGUGUGUGUGCACGCGUGAGCGUGUGCCUGUGUGUGUGUGUCUGUGUGCGUACAUGCUUGCUUAGGUGAAAGCAAAAUCUCAUGAAGCAGCAGAUAGAUUUCAUUGAAACUCUAAGAAAGUGUCAGAUAGACACCUACUGAAUAACAUUUGGAGUCAGCCCAAAUCAAGAUGGCCACCAGAGCUUAUUGGUCUUUAAAAACCACAAGAAAAGCUGUUCCUCAGUACUAUGCCUAGUUGUGUACUCACGGACGUGAAAAACAUCAACAGUGUUGGCCCAAGAACUGUUCUAAUCCUAAGUACAUAUCAUGGCUUUCAAUGUUCCCGGAUGUGCCCUUGCUCUGCCCAUUGUAUCAGGAAUGCAUUGAUGAGUGCUUCUGCAGACUUGGGUCUGCAAGGUGGCCCAUAAUGCAUUGCAUCGCAAACUGUUAUACCUCAAAUGGAAAAUUGCAGAGGAAAAAGCACAUAACUGUAGUGUUUUUACAUUAAAAAUAUGAAUAAUGAAGUCUAUAUAUAUAUACAUAUAUACAUAUAUAUAUAUAUAUAUAUAUACAUGUGUACAUAUACAUAUACAUAUACUGUCAUGGCCUGAGGCAUAUCGUUCCCCACACUAACCCUUCUCCUGCAGGUGGGCGGUGCCAGAGAGCUGCCCUGCUGCAGCCAUUCAGCUGCAAUCACCGGCUGGCUACAUGAGGAGCAGUCUGAGACCUACACGACGUCGGAUGAUUAACUCGUUAGGAUAUCACUCUACAUCAUCUCUCCAGCCAUAACCAACGGAUCUCUUCUCCACAUCGUCUCAUCUGCUCAGCCAGCCGACCCGCUCUCUCUCUCUCUCUCCCCCCACCUGCCUCGCUUAAUGUUUUGGACCCGUCAUCGUCUUCAUUCCUCGUCUCUGAGGCUUGGACCCUGUUUUGAGCUCCUCUCCACCUCAGGCCAGACCUACCCUCUCCUCUGCAUCUACACCUCUCCACCAUAAAAUUCUGCCCCGUACAUCAGAGCUUCCUCGAGAGUGCCUCACCUGUCAUCCCCUCGUUUAAUAAAUAUCAUUACUUUCUCUUACCUUUGUCUCCCGGCUCUGAUUCUGCAUGUGGGUUAGAAAAUUAAACGCCAACAUGACAGAAUCAUCCGACCAAUCAGCUAACCUUGCAGAAUAUGUGCCAUCCAGAAUUUCCGAAAUUCUCCACGAACAUGACUCCACACUGCGUACUUUACUUGAACAGCUGUCUCUGACUAAUCAGCAUCUGCACAAUUUAGAUACGGCAGUUUGCCAUCUGCAUGAGCAGUGUUCAGCUCCACCACCACCGACUCAGCCUGGAGGAAAGAAACAGGCGAAUGUCCUCUAGACUCUGCCUUUAUUGUGGACAGUCUGGACAUUUCGUCUCUCAAUGUCCAGACCAGCCAAAAGGGAGAACCCACCAGUAAAACCGGGAUUUCGGGUGGGUGCAAGUGCGUACAGUUUAUCUCGGUGUUUACUUUCCUGUGUUGUCUCCUUCUCUCAGCACAGCCUUCCCUUUCGAGCUCUAGUGGAUUCUGGAAGGGAGCAAAACCUUGUGGAUCAAGCAGUUGUGGACCGACUCCAAAUUCCCACUCAUUCUACCUACACCCUUACAGGCCUCCUCCUUGGAUGGAAAUCCUCUCUCUCCCAUCACCCAUAAGACAAUACCCAUUCCCCUUUGAAUUUAUGGUAAUCAUCACGAACAGUUAACGUUUUUUGUGUUUCCAUCCCCCCAGUCUCCUGGUCACCCUUGGCUCGUCACCCAUAACCCACACAUUAACUGGAGAACAAGUAGUGUGGAGUCCUGGAGUUCCCGCUGUUUCAACACCUGUCUUCAAGCAGCCACGGUGACCACCUCGGACCAGCCUAGCCCCCCAGUUACUCAACCAGACUUAUCAGGAGUUCCUCCCGACUACCACAAUCUCCUUCAGAUGCAGUUUGGGGGGAUAAAAUCCACCUUAAGGACGAAAAGCAGAUUUUCCACCAGAACAAAGCCCACAUGCUGCCUGUAGCUAGCUUCUUUGAACAUGUUUAGCUGUAGCCUCACACGGACGAGCCAGCUCCACACCUGCACCAGCAGUCGGUGCUUCCGACACAUCAUUAAGUCAGACAAUCAGCCGUCUAGUCAACAGCCCCCGCUGAUGCGAACAGGCAAGCCUCAGCCGCUUCUAAAGGUAAGUUUAACAGUCAAAUCUAUUUAAGAGCUGUAGAAAGUGUAAAGUGGACCCGCAGCAUAAUGUUUCCCCAGAAUUUGUUUCGUUAGAUAUGAAUAACUAUUUUUGAAACCAAUUUUAGCUCGGAGAUUGAAUGAGACCCCAAGUGGUCUCUUUUAUUUAUUUAUUUUGUCACCCGGUAAUUCAAGUAUUAGACUGUAAAAUUGCUCGAUAAGAGUUUGCUGCAGUUUGUUUUCUGCAUGGGAAAAAGAAAUCAGCCAAUGCAUAUUUGUAUAUCACUGCUGUGGUGUAAUGAUUUAUUGUUUCUAAAGUAUUGAUUUAAACGGCAAAACAAGUUCUGAUGUCUUCAAUAAAGUUCGUGAAAAAGUUAAA